UUACGGCCAUAUCACAUUGAAUCACCACUUCCCAUACGAUCAUCGAAGUUAAGCAACGUAGAGCCUGGUCAGUAUCUAGAUGGGUGACCGCUUGGGAAUACCAAGUGC